AUUGAACGCUGGCGGCAGGCCUAACACAUGCAAGGCGAACGAGUGGCGGACGGGUGAGUAAUGUCUGGGAAACUGCCCGAUGGAGGGGGGUAACUACUGGAAACGGUAGCUAAUACCGCAUACCAUCGGAUGUGCCCAGAUGGGAUUAGCUAGUAGGGUGGGUAACGGCGCACCUAGGCGACGAUCCCUAGCUGGUCUGUGAGGAUGACCAGCCACACUGGAACUGAGACACUGCCACGACUCCUACGGGAGGCAGCAGUGGGGAAUAUUGCACAUUGGGCGCAAGCCUGAUGCAGCCAUGCCGCGUGUAUGAAGAAGGCCGGCGGGUUGUAAAGUACUUGCAGCGAGGAGGCGUUACUCGCAGAAGAAGAACCGGCUACCUCCGUGCCAGCCGCCGCGGUAAUUC
rnacentral:rRNA from 1 species